rnacentral:rRNA from 1 species
AUUGAACGCUGGCGGCAUGCCUUACACAUGCAAGUCGAACGGCAGCACGGGUGCUUGCACCUGGUGGCGAGUGCCGAACGGGUGAGUAAUACAUCGGAACAUGUCCUGUAGUGGGGGAUAGCCCGGCGAAAGCCGGAUUAAUACCGCAUACGAUCUACGGAUGAAAGCGGGGGACCUUCGGGCCUCGCGCUAUAGGGUUGGCCGAUGGCUGAUUAGCUAGUUGGUGGGGUAAAGGCCUACCAAGGCGACGAUCAGUAGCUGGUCUGAGAGGACGACCAGCCACACUGGGACUGAGACACGGCCCAGACUCCUACGGGAGGCAGCAGUGGGGAAUUUUGGACAAUGGGCGAAAGCCUGAUCCAGCAAUGCCGCGUGUGUGAAGAAGGCCUUCGGGUUGUAAAGCACUUUUGUCCGGAAAGAAAUCCUUGGCUCUAAUACAGUCGGGGGAUGACGGUACCGGAAGAAUAAGCACCGGCUAACUACGUG